UCUCUAAAAAUAAAUAAAUAAAAUCUUGAUUAAAAAAUACAUAGCAAAAAAUUAAAACUAAAUAGGUUUGGAUAUCAAGUUGAGGAAAUCCACGAGACGUAGAGUUAAAAAUCAAAGAAGUGAAAAAAAUCAAAGAAGUAGAAAAGAGGAGAGAAAAGAGAUUUUAAAAACAAUAAUAAAUCUCACCCAAAAAACCCCAAAUAAAACCUUAAUGGGUCAGUCUAGGAAGUCUAAUGUAUAAAUAAAAGGAGUUACAGAAAGAGAAAAAGAACAAUACAGAGCAAAGGGAAUGAUCAAGGAAAUAAUUCAAGAACAUUUCCUGAAACUGAAGGACAUUAGUUUUCAUAUUGAUAGGACUCAUUGAAUAUUCAGCACAAUACCAAAACACUGGAAAUAAAGAGAAGAUCCUGAGUUUCCAGAGUGGAAAAAACAAGUCACAUAAAAGACUCAGAAUUACCUGGGACUUUCAAUGCACCAGAAGCUAGAAGGCAAUGGAACAAUGCCUCCAACAUCCUGGAGGAAAAUAAAUUUUAACCUAGAAUCCU